GUGCUCCAUCCUCACAGUGAUUCAAAUGCUGCUAACAGUCUGUGAACCAGGAGGAAGAGGAAGUGAGAGAAGUGAACAUCCAGCUCAAAGAGGAGACAGAGGGCGACAUCAUCCAGUAGGCGGUGCUCUCCUUCUGCACUGUGUUCAACCAUUGUGUCAAUAAUAAGUGCUGCUGUGAAGAGAACAAUUCUCAGACUGAAUGUUGAACAUCAGCUAGUUUCUCCUGUUGAUUGAAACCUUGUUGUACAGAUGGAACAUUGGCUGUGGAUUAUUCUUGCUGCUCUUUUCUUUGAGUGUAAAGGAGAAGACAAAGUGAUCCAGGAACAAGGAGAUGUCAUUGCUGCUGAAGGAGACACAGUUACACUUGGAUGUAGAUUUGAAACAACAGACAAUUUCCCCAGAUUGUUCUGGUACAAACAAAAAGUAGGAAGUUUUCCAGAGUUUAUACUACGACGCUUCUCCGGAUCAACAGAACAUGAAGACUCUGAGAGGAGCAGAUUUACGGCUACGCUAAAAGAAAAGUCAGUUCCUCUGAAGAUCCAGAAGCUUCAGCUGUCUGACUCUGCUGUGUACUACUGUGCUCUGCAGCCCACAGUGACAGGAAACACCAAAACUCUGUACAAAAACCUUUGGAGCAAAGACAACAGAAUACUCCACAACAUCCACUAGAGGGAGC